rnacentral:piRNA from 1 species
GAUGAAUACCAACGGCUCUGAUG